rnacentral:lncRNA from 1 species
GAAUGUAUGUAUGUGUGUGGUUUUUAAAGAGGUCAUGCCUGUUUCUUUUUUUUAACGAACUAGAAGUAUGUAUUAUAGCAUGUUAGAAUUGAAAGGGACCCCAAAGAUGAUCUAGUUCAGCCUUCCCAUUUGACAGUUGAGGAAACACUUUGUUUGGCAUUUCUUUACUUUAAGGAAAGUUGGGGCACUGCCAAAAUCAACACUGCCUGCUUUGAGUUUUCACUGCUUGUCGGACAAACCUUAGGUUGGGGGAUUGGGGGAUAUAUACAAACAGGGACUAAAACAAGCAACAUCAUGCCGUCAGCCAUCAAUCUGGUUGUUGUCUUAUUCUUCCCCAAAAUAAUUUCAAGUCAACUAUAGACACAAACACUUGAAAUGUAUUAAUUUAUUUAUUAAAUAAAAAUGGCUGAUAUUUUGCUUACUAAAAAUCUGAUUAUUUCUUUGGCUCCUGGUUAGAUGAGCAAGUCAAAUGUUAACAACCUGAGUACCAUCGUCUAUAACAAAACAGUGAAUCAGCACCCUCUAGCACAUUUCUGAGUCACUACUUUUUAAAAAAACCUUUUAAAAAAUGUAACUGAAACUAAAAUAUUCUAAACACUGUGCUGGGUUUUUCAUACUAUCUCAUUUUUAAUUCUCAUAAAAUUGCACAACAUAGCUUGAGACAGCUCUGUAAGUAGAUAAAGAUAAUAUACAAUGUAGUGAGGUCUACUUCGUGUGUGGAAAGAGAGUUGUGGUCAGAGAGCAGCUGACUCUACUGAGGGAAGCAAUGAUGAAUGAGAAGAGGCCCUGGAUCCCUGGGAGCUCCCACCAUAGUAGGAGAGACAGAUCCCUGGAAAGGAAUGUUGCAAUAGGCAUGUCAAGAACUAUUGCACAGUUAUUUCUUUUUAAAUGGUGUGAGAGCAAAAAAAAUAGAAAUGCUAACUCUGGGGGUUUUGAAGAUGACUUGAAUGAAGAAGUUACAUCAGACUGAGUAUUAAAGGAAGAGAGUAGUUUGCCAGGUGAAAAACAGAAAUGUCAUUUAAGGAAGAAAGAAAAACAAGUGAGAAGGCAUGGUAUUGAGGAAGACUGUGAUGUGUAUGCACAGGAAAAGUAAGGGGGUCAGUGGUGCUGGAAACCGGGGUGCAUGGGAUGAAGUGGGGUGGAGAUGUGUGGAGCAAGUCUGGGACAAGCUUCUGUGCCAAUGUAGGGAUAUGGAAGUUGUCCUCUGGAAAACUGGAAGUAUUGGAGGUUUUCAGUUGGAAAAUAAUGUAAUUGGAUUGCUGUCUUUCUCUUGCCAUAAAAAUUAAGAAAUAUAAUCCUUAAUGAGGAAAAAAUACUAAAACAUUAAAACAGAUAUAGUGUAUAAAGCAUAAUUGUAAACACCUCUGUAACAUAUAACAUUGUGAAAACCCUUCAUCUCCUCCCCAGUCAUAUGUCAUGGAAGCCCCAAAAAUGAUAACCA